rnacentral:rRNA from 1 species
UACGGGGGGAGCAAGCGUUGUUCGGAUUUACUGGGCGUAAAGGGCGCGUAGGCGGCCACCGCAAGUCGACUGUGAAAUCUCCGGGCUUAACCCAGAAAGGUCAGCCGAUACUGCGGGGCUAGAGUGCAGAAGGGGCAACUGGAAUUCUCGGUGUAGCGGUGAAAUGCGUAGAUAUCGAGAGGAACACCUGCGGCGAAGGCGGGUUGCUGGGCUGACACUGACGCUGAAGCGCGAAAGCUAGGGGAGCGAACGGG